CGCGAGAAGUACGACCUGCCGUCCGCUCCCAGCUCAGCGCCUCUGGUCGGCCCCGGGCGAGGCGCAGUCCCGCCGCCUGGCGAAGUUAGGGCAGGCCGGGAUCUUACUAAAAGCACCUGGAGAUCCUGCAGCCCGAACACAAAGGGUAGAGAGGGAUAUAGGGGACGUGCGGCUGGUCCUCCCCGUGCUGGCCCUGUCAGGCCAUGCCCACUGAUGCUGACGUGUGCAGAGACCGUGGCUGGAGGCCAGUCGUCGUGGCACCCAUCCUGCCUCUCCACACCACAGGUGCCAGAUGGACAUACUGUUGUCAUCUGGGAAGCUUUAUUUGUUACAUAUUUCCUGGAGGACCUGUACAGCAGGCCGCACAGUAUUUCAAACCCUCUUCUCAGCCCAGAGCUGAAGAUUGAAGCAGCAAUUAUCUUCUUUUCGCAGACCCAGCCAAACUGACAGGGGCAGAGAAGUUAGCAGGGAGGUUGUGAAGACAGAAGCUGGAGCCGGUAGUGUGGGAGGAAGAUAGGAAAGCUGACUGCUACUGCCCUUGUUUAUUAGGCUUAUUGACACUGCAUAGCAAAUUAUAAUGCUUUUGCAUGGAUUUUAGAAGGGUUUUGGAAGAUGUUUAAGGAUGAGAGAAUCUUUGCCUCAAUACAUAGGGUUUCCUGACAUACAUUGGAGCUAGUGAGAAAGAAAAAGCUGAAGCACAAGCACUUUCUAAAUAAAAGGAGCACAGACUACUAUUAGGAAUGAGAUAAAGCAAGGACAGGUAAAUCUGCCUUAAAGUUCCAGCGGGAUGGACCUAGCACUGCACAUCCUGGCUUCUUUCAUUAGGUGUCAUACCCAACUCUUACCAUGCAAACACCCUUCUCUGGGCUAUGAAAUGGUCUGUGGUGUCAACCUUCCAAUGGAUGAAGUGAGAAAGGAUGAACCUCCCAGAGAAAAUCUCAGCCACAUUAUCCUAGGAGAGAUGCUCAGCAAGUCAGAUUUUCUUAUCUGCUAUGAGCAGGUGAGAACAGGGCACUCCUCCCACUUCUCAUACUUUACCAUUCAAAUAAAGGCCUCUGCUUUCUUAGCAAAGUUAAUCAAGCUACAAUCUGACUGGAAUUUAUUAGAAUUGUGUGGGCCAUGGAAUAUGUGACACGAUGAGUUUAACUUCUGUACUGCCCCAUAUGACUGGAUCGUCUCCAACAUUUCCAAACUCAGUCUUAACUUUGUUUUUCAAAUUCAGGAGAUGGGAACAUAUAUUACAAGUCACAUUGAUCAUACAGGAUUGCAGUGUUGCAGCCAAUAUCUAUAUAAACACAUGUGGGGGACAAGUCCAGAAACCUUACUAUUAUGUUUCUAGCAGAAUUUUUCUCAUAUAGCUAGUUUGGUACUGAAGGGUAGGGACUAGAUUUUUGCUUUUCAGGGAAAGUUUGUAAUAGCUUCCAGCAAAAUGGAUAGAAGAUAUUCUGGACUUGUAUUCAGAAGAAUCAAGUCCAGAUGAGAUACACAGCAGAAAAAUCCUGAUGAUGUGUUUUUUUUCCUGCAUUUUUUCAGGCCCGCUAUGAGGAAAAAAAAUGAGAUUCCUUAUAGGUUUCAGCAUGUCAGAUUAUAUUGUUCAUAUAACACAACAUAAACUCAAUCAAUACUGCAAAAAAUGAUACAUCAUAGCUGUUAUAGUUUUGUUUAGCAAAUGUAAAGGGUAUUUUAACCAAAUCAUUGUUUUAAGUACCCUUUAAACAGAGGACACCCCAUAUUCAUUCAGUGUGUAUGUAUUCACAUAAUAAACGAAAAUGGUUUCACCUUGAGCAUCUGUUCUGAAGUCUAUGCUCUUAAAAUAUACACUUAGCUAAUGCAUUACAUUAGCAGAUAGAUGAUAAUAUUUGGUAGAUUUUGCAAAGCCAUUGUCAGCCAUUUUCUAUACCACGAGGUGCUGUAUAUAGUCAUUUUGCUUGAAGGCCACAAAGAUGAUGAGGGAUCUGGAGCAUCUCCUAUAUAAAGAGAGGCUGAGAGACCUGGGGCUGUUCAGCCUAGAGAAGACUGAGGAAGGAUCUUAUCAGUGCUCAUCAAUAUCUAAUGUGUGAGAGUCAAGCAGAUGGAGCCAUGCUCUUUUCAGUGGUGCCCAGAGACAGAACAAGGGACAAUAGGCAUAAACUGGAACAUAAGGAACAUGGUUCCAUAGGAACCAUGAGGAAAAACUUCUUUACUGCAAGUGUGACAGAGCACUGGAACAAGCUGCCCAAAUUGGUUUUGGAGUCUCCUUCUCUGGAGAUGCUCAAAACCCAUCUGGGCGCUUUCCUGUGUCACCUGCUGCAGGGAACUUGCUUUAGCAGGGGGUUGGACUAGGUCAUCUCCAGAGGUCCCUUCCAACCCAUACAAUUCUGCGAUUCGGUGAAAUAAGAAUGCAGCUGAACACUAACACGCAGCUAGCUACAAAUAUACUCAGAAAUCCUUAGAUGUAUUUAUUUUUUCAGUAUUUUUCUCAACACUUGCUCGAUUUUUGACACAUCAGAGAAGCAGUAUGGGCCUAGCUGUGGAAACUAAGUACUUCUUAGUGUUUUGAACCACAGACUGAUGUAUUUGAUGGUUGAAACAAAGCUAGACACAAACACAAGCAUAUUGAAGAAUAAUAUCCAUACUGAUGAAUUGGAAGAAUUUGUCUAAAAAGAAUAAAAUUUAGUUAAGAUAUUUGUGAAGUUGUUCAUCUACAAAAGUAAGCUCAGAUUCACAUAGAGCACAAGGGAAUAGCACAUGCUUGUGUUGCAAUGAAUAAUGCAUUGAGUGUGAGCUAAUACUUCUGUAAUUUUCUAAAACAACAGAAGCAAAUUCUCAAAUACUUUUCUAAGGUUUCCACUAGGACAGAAGGUGAAUAAUUCACUACAAUGAAUGGAACUAACUGCUCGUAUACAAAGGUAAAUAUUUGCAAAAUUGGGCUAUUAGUUAAGGUAAAUAGAGCUCUUUGUACUUUUGUGUGAAAUGUUGCAAUUAAUUGACAGUAUUUGGAGUACACUGGCAAAAAGUCCAGAGGAGUGUAAUAGUGAAAGUUUGGAAAUACUCUGUGACUUUCUCUGAAGUAUUAAUCUAAAAGAACACAUAGCAAAAAUACUCUGUGUCCAAAGGAAGAAUUGCUCAUGCAAAUUUGGCAAAGAAGUAAGCUUAAAUAUAAACGCUAGAAAUUCAAAACUUAGUGUAUCUCCCGUCAGUUCUCAUGAGCUGUACUAAUUAAUGAAUAGUACUGACUGUUAAGUAUUCUGAAGAUUGAAUUCUCCUCAUAAAAAAAUUAAGUAUUUUAAGUGCCAUUUUGAGGAAGCAUGGAACUUUAGGAUUAGAAGAGACGCCUGGAAGUCACACCCUGCUGAGAGCAGGACUAGCUUCAAAGCCAGAUCGGGUUGCAGAUGGGUUUGCCCGGCUGACUUCCGAAAUCUGCAGGGACAGAGAUUGCCCAGUCUCUCUCUGGGCAGUCUCUUCCAGCACUCUUACCAGGAAGAAUUUUGUCGAUCUGUCUGGUCAAAGCAACUGUGACCUUUUGCUGAGUGCUUCUAAGGAGGGCUUGGCUCUACCUUCUUUAUAGCUUUCCCUUUAGGUACUGAAAGUCUGCAGUUUGGUUCCCUAUGCCCUCUCAUGUCUAGCCUAAGCUUCCUCUCUUGUGUUUUGUCAGUAGACAAAUGUUUAAAAAGAUGCUGUUUGUGAGAUAUGAAGAUGUAUUUAAGCAAAAGCUAUAUCACAGAGGAAACAAAUAGAAAAAGGAAACUGAUGAAAACAUUGCAAUAAGGAAUUUCAUGUGAAAUCUAAAUGUAAAAAAUGUAUUGUUCAAGGAAACAGAUGUGUCAGUACUUCACCUAAACAAAGCAAUAUUUUAAUUUUAAAGGACUCUAAAUAUAUAAAGCCAUAACCUCCUGUUAUAAGCCUCUAAUAUACUUGUGAUAUUCACCUUUGUAAUAAUUUAAUGCUCACUGAGUCUGUCUAACUGGAAAAAAGAGAGAAUCUGUCUGAAUGAAGCAUUCCUGUUUUUUUUCAGUCAUGGAAAGAAAGUUAUUUUGUGUUUGAAAUCGCAUUUGAAACAAAGCAGCUACUUUGUUUACUGUUGUGCUCUUGUCUCCUUUCCCAUAAAGAUAUGUGAAAGCAUUAGUUUAAGAUCAGGACUAUGAUAACUAGAUCGCUUUCUGAAUGCAAUAGAGAAGCAAAUUUAAUAGGGAUGGGAAUAAAUAUCUAAAUCAAGGCUGUUGUUUUCCUCAGACCAAGUUCUGUAACCAGAAUUAAAUCUAAACGUUUAGCUUAUUUUUCCUUUUUCUCCCAUAGGGCAGCCCACCCUCUAGUAACCAGUAAGCCCUAACAUGUUUUUUGCAUGCCACUUUCAGCAAAAAGUUAAAACCAGUCUGCACAAAUAAGAGCUUCCUGACCUUUCAUGGCAAAGUCUCUAAAAUAACAAAAAAGACUUUAUCUCUAAAAAUGUAUUGUGACUGCAAUUUUUGCUGUUUUCACAAUGAGACAGUUCACUAUAAUAAUUCAGAGUGAGUUUGUCUUUACAAUCUUUCAACAGUGCCCAGUGUUCAUUGCUGUUGGCCUUGAGGCUGAUGUGAAUUUUACAUUUACCUGAAAUGUUUUACUUCACGCUGAAUGGUGUUUAAAUUAAAUACUUACUGCAAGUAAAUGGAAAAAGAAAUGCUACAUAUUACAAAUAGUAGUGUUCCUACUACUGCUUAUGUUAUGGCAGUCCCUGGAAAUAUCAUCCGAACACCAGCACAGUAGAUAAAAACUUCAUGAAUAUAAACAUCCUCACAACUUGCAGUGUAGCACUUCCACGUGAGACAAUCUUGGAAUCAUAAUGAGCAAAAAGUUGAAAGCUUUGGUUUCUUGGAUAUUUACAAUGAGUUUCUGUCUCCUUUUCUCUACAGAUGUUUGCAUACCUCUCUUCAUCAAGAAGAGCUCCUUCAUCCGAAGCCUGUGCAAACCAUGAAACAGCAGGUUUUGUGCAGCUUUCAAAUUGUUUGCUUGUUUCUUGUUUCUCCAAUGAGAAAUUGAAUUUAGAGCAUACUGUUACUGUCUAAUAAAAUUGAACUCACAGUCCACAGAGUUAUAUGUCUUACACAAAGUCAUUCUGAAAACCCGCAAACA